rnacentral:rRNA from 1 species
GAUGAACGCUGGCGGCGUGCCUAAUACAUGCAAGUCGAGCGAACAGACGAGGAGCUUGCUCCCCUGACGUUAGCGGCGGACGGGUGAUUAACACGUGGAUAACCUACCUAUAAGACUGGGAUAACUACGGGAAACCGGAGCUCAUACCGGAUAAUAUAUUGAACCGCAUGGUUCAAUAGUGAAAGACGGUUUUGCUGUCACUUAUAGAUGGAUCCGCGCCGCAUUAGCUAGUUGGUAAGGUAACGGCUUACCAAGGCAACGAUGCGUAGCCGACCUGAGAGGGUGAUCGGCCACACUGGAACUGAGACACGGUCCAGACUCCUACGGGAGGCAGCAGUAGGGAAUCUUCCGCAAUGGGCGAAAGCCUGACGGAGCAACGCCGCGUGAGUGAUGAAGGUCUUCGGAUCGUAAAACGCUGUUAUUAGGGAAGAACAAAUGUGUAAGUAACUAUGCACGUCUUGACGGUACCUAAUCAGAAAGCCACGGCUAACUACGUG